rnacentral:rRNA from 1 species
GACGAACGCUGGCGGCGUGCCUAAUACAUGCAAGUAGAACGCUGAAGAGAGGAGCUUGCUCUUCUUGGACGAGUUGCGAACGGGUGAGUAACGCGUAAGUAACCUGCCUUGUAGCGGGGGAUAACUAUUUGAGACGAUAGCUAAUACCGCAUAACAAUGGAUGACCCAUGUCAUUUAGUUGAAAGGUGCAACUGCUCCACUAGAAGAUGGACCUGCGUUGUAUUAGCUAGUAGGUGAGGUAACGGCUCAACUAGGCGACGGUACAUAGCCGACCUGAGAGGGUGAUCGGCCACACUGGGACUGAGACGCGGCCCAGACUCCUACGGGAGGCAGCAGUAGGGAAUCUUCGGCAAUGGGGGCAACCCUGACCGAGCAACGCCGCGUGAGUGAAGAAGGUUUUCGGAUCGUAAAGCUCUGUUGUAAGUCAAGAACGAGUGUGAGAGUGGAAAGUUCACACUGUGACGGUAGCUUACCAGAAAGGGACGGCUAACUACGUGCCAGCAGCCGCGGUAA